rnacentral:rRNA from 1 species
UACGGGGGGGGCAAGCGUUGUCCGGAUUUAUUGGGCGUAAAGAGCGUGUAGGCGGCCAUACAGGUCCGUUGUGAAAACUGGAGGCUUAACCUCCAGACGUCGAUGGAAACCGUAUGGCUAGAGUCCGGAAGAGGAGAGUGGAAUUCCUGGUGUAGCGGUGAAAUGCGCAGAUAUCAGGAAGAACACCCGUGGCGAAGGCGGUUCUCUGGGACGGUACUGACGCUGAGACGCGAAAGCGUGGGGAGCGAACAGG